rnacentral:misc_RNA from 1 species
UCAAACUUGGUCAUUUAGAGGAAGUAAAAGUCGUAACAAGGUUUCCGUAGGUGAACCUGCGGAAGGAUCAUUAUCGAGUUAGGGUUCCUCUCACGGGCCCGAUCUCCCAACCCUGUGUCUACCACACCUUGUCGUUGCUUCGGCGGACCGGUUCCCACCGCCGGGGGUGCAUGCCCCUGGAGAGCGUCCGCCGAUGGCCCAACCACACAACUCUUUGUACGAAACCAUGUCGUCUGAAAUACUUUGAUAUAAUCAAAACAAAACUUUCAACAACGGAUCUCUUGGUUCUGGCAUCGAUGAAGAACGCAGC